GACGAACGCUGGCGGCGUGCUUAACACAUGCAAGUCGAACGAUGACGACCGAGCUUGCUCGGUCUGAUUAGUGGCGAACGGGUGAGUAACACGUGAGCAACCUGCCCUUCACUCUGGGAUAACCUCGGGAAAUCGGGGCUAAUACCGGAUAUGAGCUCCUGUCGCAUGGCGGGUGUUGGAAAGUUUUUCGGUGAAGGAUGGGCUCGCGGCCUAUCAGUUUGUUGGUGAGGUAGUGGCUCACCAAGGCGAUGACGGGUAGCCGGCCUGAGAGGGCGACCGGCCACACUGGGACUGAGACACGGCCCAGACUCCUACGGGAGGCAGCAGUGGGGAAUAUUGCACAAUGGGCGAAAGCCUGAUGCAGCGACGCCGCGUGAGGGAUGACGGCCUUCGGGUUGUAAACCUCUUUCAGCAGGGAGGAAGCGAAAGUGACGGUACCUGCAGAAGAAGCGCCGGCUAACUACGUG
rnacentral:rRNA from 1 species